GACGAACGCUGGCGGCGUGCUUAACACAUGCAAGUCGAACGGACAGGCCCUGCUUUUGUGGGGUGCUCGAGGGGCGAACGGGUGAGUAACACGUGAGUAACCUGUCCUUGACUGUGGGAUAACUUCAGGAAACUGGGGCUAAUACCGGAUAGGAGCUCCUGCUGCUUGGUGGGGGUUGGAAAGUUUCGGUGGUUGGGGAUGGACUCGCGGCUCAUAAGCUUGUUGGUGGGGUAGUGGCAUACCAAGGCUUUGCCGGGUAGCCGGGCUGAUAGGGGAGCCGGCCACAUCGGGACUGAGAUACGGCACAGACUCCUACGGGAGGCAGCGGUGGGGAAUAGUACACAGUGGGCGGAAGCCUGAUGCAGCACCGCCGCGUGGGGGAUAACGGCCUUCGGGUUGUAAACCGCUUUCGCUUGUGACGAGGCGUGAGUGACGGUAAUGGGUAAAGAAGCACCGGCUAACUACGUG
rnacentral:rRNA from 1 species